UACGAACGCUGGCGGCAUGCCUAACACAUGCAAGUCGAACGCCCUGGUUCGCCAGGGAGUGGCGCACGGGUGAGUAACGCGUGGGAACCUGCCCGGCAGUACGGGACAACCGCGGGAAACUGCGGCUAAUACCGUAUACGGCCCGAGGGCGAAAGAGAUUCGCUGUCGGAGGGGCCCGCGUCGGAUUAGGUAGUUGGUGGGGUAACGGCCUACCAAGCCUGCGAUCCGUAGCUGGUCUGAGAGGAUGAUCAGCCACACUGGGACUGAGACACGGCCCAGACUCCUACGGGAGGCAGCAGUGGGGAAUAUUGGACAAUGGGCGCAAGCCUGAUCCAGCAAUGCCGCGUGAGUGAUGAAGGCCUUAGGGUUGUAAAGCUCUUUCGCCCGCGACGAUGAUGACGGUAGCGGGAGAAGAAGCCCCGGCUAACUCCGUGCCAGCAGCCGCGGUAAUACGGAGGGGGCUAGCGUCGUUCGGAAUUACUGGGCGUAAAGGGCGCGCA
rnacentral:rRNA from 1 species